UCAUUUGAAUGUGUCAUUUAUUCAUUCGGUCACAGGUCUCAUUCGCAGAUAUUUCAUCUCCUGACUGGCGGAAUAUCAUUUAACUGGUUGUUCAACAGCAGUGCUGCUUUUAGUUGGCAAUCAAACCCAUGUGAAUACUGGGAGGCUGUUGCCACACAUCAGCCUGAAGAAACACAGGACUUGUUCUGCUACAUUCCAUCUUCAGUUUUCUUAACAGGUGAAAGGUUCUGUGUUUCCUGUGAGACAGAACAUGCAUAGUAGCGUUCUGUGUUUUUCCUUAGAACACACAGAAAAUGAGUUGUGUUUUUAGAGGGAAAGAAUAAUAAUUUUAGGUUUCUGUGUGGUGCAUUUGCAUGACACAACAGCAGUCUUUAAACAGGCCGAUUACAAAUUAAUGUAAUGAAAUAAGUUGAAUAUAGAAUGAAUAGCACAGGCUUGGAAUCUCUAACCACAUCAGUUUGACUAUAGAAAUGUACAGAAUAGAACAGGCAUCCCCAUUUAAAUUGAUAAUGGUAUAGUCAAUUAUUUAUUACAGCUAAACUGCAAUCAUCCAGAAGGAAUCAUUUCCACUUAAAGGGUUGACCUAGGGAAUGAGGUGGGUGGAGCUAAGCAGGUGAACUUCAUACCUGAUUGGGCAACAUUGAUGCGUUCUACCAUAUUUCUGUUAUGAAUCAUUAGGAAACGCCCAGCCCUCCCUGCACAUUUUUCAUGAAUUAGCCAGAGUACAGUCAGCAAAACUGUUAAAAACGUUAUUUUGUGACAUUAAAUGUUUAAUCUAUGAGAAAAUCAUCAUGGUUCCAGGUCCAUCUCUCUCCAUGAGCUUCCAAUCCCAGUGGGAAGUAGACAUGAUGGCUUGGUGCUUACGAUGUACACAGCAGAGGACUGCCUGUCUAUGGGCCAGCAAACAUUGCAAGUAUCCUCAUUCAAACAAAAACGAUGUUCAACAAUUCAAGACAGAAGGAAAAACGCAAGAUUCCAACUCCCAUUCAAAACACAAAUUAAUUGGAUCAGUGCCAAUGCUGGAUUCUACAGAAUUAGUUUUGUACACACUUAGAUAAAAAAAAUUGUUAACAAGUCUAAAUUUACAGAAUAAAACUAAAGUGGUUUUGCUGGGUUUGCUUAAGUUACAGGAAAAGUACUGCAUUUGGGUUAAUUUGGUGAAAUGUCUGGUUACUGUGGCAUAAUAGCAUCCCAUUUGUCUCAAACUUAACUGGUGAAACCUGGGAAACUGUAGUAAAACCUGGGCUCAACAAUACAAGGUUAGGACGAGAUGGAUUCUACUAUCGCAUAAUUCAUUGUGCCACCAAUCAGCACAGGACCAGCAAACAGAUGGUCUGACUGGACUUGAAUACCACUCCUGCCUUAUGCUGUUGUUCUAAUAUCCUCCAUGGUCACAUAUCCUAAUGUCCUCUGUGGUCACAUGUCCUAAUGUCCUCCGUGGUCACAUGUUGUCUUAAUGUCCUCCAUGGUCACAUGUCCUAAUGUCCUCCGUGGUCACAUGUUGUCUUAAUGUCCUCCGUGGUCACAUGUUAUCCUAAUGUCCUCCGUGGUCACAUGUUAUCCUAAUGUCCUCCGUGGUCACAUGUUAUCCUAAUGUCCUCCGUGGUCACAUGUUGUCCUAAUGCCCUCUGUGGUCACAUGUUAUCCUAAUGUCCUCCGUGGUCACAUGUUGUCUUAAUGUCCUCCAUGGUCACAUGUCCUAAUGUCCUCCGUGGUCACAUGUUGUCCUAAUGCCCUCUGUGGUCACAUGCUGCUGACGAAACCCCAAGGGUGACUACCACAGUAUGGGGGGGUUUAUUAAACACAUCAACUCCGAGACAAACUCACAACUUGAAUGAUGCAAUUCAUGGUUCACUUUAAGUUAAUAAAACAAGCAAAAAAUGAUUGUUUCCAAAUCCCUCCUAUCCAUUUUAGAAGACAUGAAUCGUAUUAACAUUUCAUUCAGGAGGUAUUUUGUAUAUGUGUUAAGUCUUGAAAUCAUGUUGUAUAAUUAUAGACACUCCUAUCCAGUCUUUUGUGUGAAAUUGCGCAAGCACAAAUAUAGCAUGGUGUCUAAUGGGAUUCCACUUAGUUCUUGGAAGCAUGGGUGCAUACUCAUUGCAAGGGGCUGCAGCAGGCUCUAUUAGCCCCUACCCUCAUUUAUUUUGAUUCCCUCUGUUUUAGGACACUCGUGCAAACGGCAGAGGCUUGUGUGAACAUGCAAAUGGAGUAUGCAGGAGAAAGGCUUAAUUGGGGAUUAGAUGUGAAUGGUAGCUGCACAAAAAUAUUGUCAUCAAGGUUAAGAAUUACUAUCAAAUUGCCUGUGUCACAAUUCCGGCCAGCCAAUGCCUUCGAUACAACUGUGACAUGCCCACAGGUCUUGCGUUAUUGCCCACGGGCCAGCGUUAUUGCCUGAGUUAAGAGCUCCAAGCCCCGUCUGUUCAUUCUAACUUCAGAGAUUGAUAAAUCAAUCAGUGGAAACAGUGGCUUGAUAUUGAGAUGUCAUAAUUUCCAUGGUGCAGUGACAUGAUUCUAACUGAAGUAGCGAUGUCACUUGAGUUGAUUCAAGCGAGGUAACACUUUAGACUCAGUAGACUGGGGUACGAGGUAACACUUUAGACUCAGUAGACUGGGGUACGAGGUAACACAUUAGACUCAGUAGACUGGGGUACGAGGCAACACUUUAGACUCAGUAGACUGGGGUACGAGGUAACACUUUAGACUCAGUAGACUGGGCUACGAGGCAACACUUUAGACUCAGUAGACUGGGGUACGAGGUAACACUUUAGACUCAGUAGACUGGGGUACGAGGUAACACUUUAGACUCAGUAUUUAGAUGCAUGGGGAAAUAGUUUCACAGGUCAAUAAUCACAAGGAGGCAAAACAAAAUAUACAAUUCGGCCUGAACAUUUAUUUAUUUAUUUUUUGGCCAAUUAAACAAAUUGAUCAUAGAUUUAAACAAAACUUCCUAGAAACACAGUAUAUAUAGUCAAACCCAGCAUUAUCCCAAAGAAUAAGCGUUUUGUAAGUGGUUUACAAUUGACAUCCUACCCUACUAUCUUAUUCCACAAACAGGCUACUUCAGAUAUCUCCUCCACGUGCAGUAGAAGAAUGUCAAACGUUUCAAACACAAAUAUAUUAAAAGAUCUUCAAGAUUCUGAAAUCCAAACAUCAGAGACUCUUGAACAUUCUGCUUUGUGUCCUGCAUAAGAAACGCUCACCUCAUAAUCCACCAACAACACUGUGUGAAGAGAAAGGGGCAAAUAUUGCCACACUAUUGUCUGUAUAGGUCUGGUCAACUUCUAAUCCAAGUUAAUAGUAAAAGACUAAGCCUUGUUUCUUUGUUCUGACUAAACUCUUCUGAGUAAUUAACCAGUAAAGGCAUGCUGGACUGAUCAAUAUUUGCAUUAUAAGGCAACGGUAAAAGUUAAGUAUCAACUUGCCACUAGUGAAACCUGUUUCCACACUUCAGGUCUACAACUGUUUGCAUAUACAAAGUUGGGUGCUGUGGGAGAAAUGGUGCUUUGAUCACUGAAAUGACCAGGAGCUGGUGCGUUAUUUGCCCUGUUUAAACAAUGCAAUUGGCUCACUUUAUUUCCCAUUUUCAUGUCAAGAGACAUGUAGGCGCUGCACACUGUAAUCCAGUGUUUCUCAAACCUGCGCCUGGGCCCCCGCCCUGCACGUUUUAGAUCUCUCCCCGCCCUGACACACCUGAUUCAAAUGAUCAUCAACUGACACAACACAUGUCUUAUAUCCCUGUGACUUGAAUGAGGAAGGAGGCUUGAGUGCUUCAGUUAAGACAGAGCUGGUUCACCAACAUACCUGAAGUUGUCCUGGUUUGCUCGCAUUCGGCAACUCCACCGACAGUGCCCAGAGUAGGCCUUUGUUGCGUCACAUCCAAGGGUUGGACAUUACAGUACCAGUCUUAGAAACGAAGGGCUGGUCUCCCAGGUGCAGAUUAAUGCGGACUAAAAAGAACUUUCAAUGGAGAUUCUCCAUUGACUGUGCUAGUUAAUCUAGAGCUAGUUAAUCUAGAGCUAGUCUGGGAAACCACGUGCACUGGCACCUGGUGACAUGAC
ensembl:lncRNA